AUGAACGCUGGCGGCGUGCCUAAUACAUGCAAGUCGAGCGAACAGACGAGGAGCUUGCUCCUCUGACGUUAGCGGCGGACGGGUGAGUAACACGUGGAUAACCUACCUAUAAGACUGGGAUAACUUCGGGAAACCGGAGCUAAUACCGGAUAAUAUAUUGAACCGCAUGGUUCAAUAGUGAAAGACGGUUUUGCUGUCACUUAUAGAUGGAUCCGCGCCGCAUUAGCUAGUUGGUAAGGUAACGGCUUACCAAGGCAACGAUGCGUAGCCGACCUGAGAGGGUGAUCGGCCACACUGGAACUGAGACACGGUCCAGACUCCUACGGGAGGCAGCAGUAGGGAAUCCUCCGCAAUUGGCGAAAGCCUGACGGAGCAACGCCGCGUUAGUGAUGAAGGUCUUCGGAUCGUAAAACUCUGUUAUUAGGGAAGAACAAAUGUGUAAGUAACUAUGCACGUCUUGACGGUACCUAAUCAGAAAGCCACGGCUAACUACGUG
rnacentral:rRNA from 1 species